rnacentral:lncRNA from 1 species
AGUAUUUGAUUUCUUUCCCCUGUUUCAAGUUGCAGCCUCGCCCCUCUCGCUCUCGCGGCUCUCGGCGGAUCGGCGUUCAGUGAAAGCUAAAAGCCUAAAACCCUAGUUCGAACCUCUACUAGCCGGCGACAGCGGCGGUGGAGCGCGGGAUACCCGGAGAUGCCAGCGCCGUCUGCGGUUGCGUCGGCCGUAGAGAGGCUACAGGCAGCGGCGCAGGACGCCGCCAAGUCCUCGUCGCGCUCGGCCGGCGCCUUCUCCGAGCAGGCGCAGCAGGCCCUCGUGUCCAGGACCGCCGGGUAAGCCGUAUCCGCUGACACCGACCUCCAUCUUCUCUCGAUUCGAUGCAUCCGCGGUCGCAGGCUUUAUGCUUGCUCUGUUGUUUGCCCUGAUUUGGUAUGGCCACGCGGAAUUUGCAGCGUGCUUCUUCCGAUCCCCAUUUAUGAUUUGAAUUGUGCUUCGGAUGAUCUUAUUACUGUACUUCAUGGAUUCAGCUCACUUCCAGCCAGUUUGCCCUUACGUUUACACGAGCAGUACCAGGUAGUAUCGUGCGAUAUGAGUAAUUCAUGGUUUGGUAGGCAAUGUACUCCAUUUAUAACAUCCACAGAUGAAAACCGUAACCGAAAAUCCCGUAAUCAGGGCCUCAUAACCGUAUCGUUUCUGUAAACACAAUAUCAUUUCCGAAAAUCACUAUAUUUAAAAUUUAAAUUUCAAAUAUCUGUCAACAUUUAUUGUAAUCGACAAUAAGUUGAUUAAUUAUGAAACCGAGUAAAUUUACGACCGACCGACAAUCAUUUUCGUAUAAACGAUAUCGUUUCCGACUGUUUCAAUCCCUAUUAACUUCAUGUUUAUAGUCGCUUAAAUUAUAUCAAGGGCAUGUGGUCAAUGGUUAAGAUGUUUUCCCCAGAACCCUUAUGUAACCAAAUUCCCAAAAGAGAAGCAUAAGAAAUCCCUUUUCAGUGAACCCUUCAGUUGCUGUCAAGUUAAGCUCAAAGUGGUAGCUUGAUGUAUUGAAUUUUAUAGGUUUAAGAAUUUCAAAGGACUAUUUUGCCUGAAUAAAUCAAUUCUUACACUUUUCUUAAGUCAAAAAAUUUAAAGCUUGUCUGAAUUUAUAGAAAGGAGUGUCAAGAUUUAUGGCACUACAUUAGCAUUAUUGGAUUGGAUGCACCAUGAACUAUAUUUUCACUUUUUCAGAAUAUGCUCAUUUGGUGUCACAAAUAUUUGUAGCUUUUUUUAUAAACUCGGUCAAAAAUGAAAAAGUUCGACUGGCAACUUUAGGUAUUAUUCAUUUAUCGAGGCAAGAUUGGAAAUGAAGGUAGUAGUUACUUGAGGUUAAACUUUUAAGUGGCAGCCAAUCAGUAAAGCCGUUGUAUCAAGGUUUUUAUGAGUUCUAAAUCCUGGAAUAUUUGACCAGUGUUCAACUUUGUCUCCGAUUUCAGUUGAAGCAAACAGUGUUUAUCCUUGAACUGCAAAUGUGUAACAAAAUAUGGAGACCACGCCAAUGUCGCUCUAUGGCUAUCAAUGUUAGGAAACCUGAGCUCAGCGUCAGCUAUACAUUAUUCAUAAUGUACAUGGACUAUGUGAGCAGAAUCAGCCGCCUGCAAAAAUGUGGUUAGCCUGAAGGAACCAGUAGUGCAGUGUUUUUUGUAUUAACUGUUGCUGUACUUCAAACCUGUCAUGAGAAGUGCUGCUAUGUUUCUCCUGAUGUUAAUUUAUUCUGCAUUGCAGACGGGUUGUUUCUCUGUCAACAUGUGCAAAGGUCAGUGCCAUUAGCUUUGCGAUUGGUGUUGUGGCAGGGUUCACACUCAAGAAAAGGCUGCGCAGAUGGGCUGCUAGACUGCUGAAGAGAAUUAAGGACGACGACUAUUGACUAAUGCGAUCUUUUCCUCAUUGUCUUUGGAGUUUGUUCAGAAAUCAGAACUAUGGCUACUACGUACCUCAGCAUCUUGUGUAGCCAACUGUUUUUGUGCCUCCACAUAUUUGCUAUGAAUGCUGGUAUAUGAUAAUAUGAACCAUCAGAAGUUCAUCAC